GAUCGGGAGGUGCGUGGUGGGACAUGCACCGGGAAUUGAUCGAAACCCCCUGUUUCAUAAGGGCGUGCAACCGGGGCCCGACGGUUGU
rnacentral:ncRNA from 1 species